ACGGCCGGGAGCCAGGGGCCCAGCCGGCGCUGGGGGGGUGAGUACAGCCGUAUGGGUACGGCCGGGAGCCAGUGGCCCAGCCGGCGCUGGGGGGGUGAGUACAGGUGUAUGGGUACAGCCGGGAGCGAGUGGCCCAGCCGGCGCUGGGGGGGUGAGUACAGGCGUAUGGGUACAGCCGGGAGCGAGGGGCCCAGCCGGCGCUGGGGGGGUGAGUACAGGCGUAUGGGUACAGCCGGGAGCCAGUGGCCCAGCCGGCACUGGGGGGGUGAGUACAGGUGUAUGGGUACAGCCGGGAGCGAGUGGCCCAGCCGGCGCUGGGGGGGUGAGUACAGGUGUAUGGGUACAGCCGGGAGCGAGUGGCCCAGCCGGCGCUGGCCGUAUGGGUACGGCCGGGAGCCAGUGGCCCAGCCGGCGCUGGGGGGGUGAGUACAGGUGUAUGGGUACAGCCGGGAGCCAGUGGCCCAGCCGGCGCUGGGGGGGUGAGUACAGGCGUAUGGGUACAGCCGGGAGCGAGGGGCCCAGCCGGCGCUGGGGGGGUGAGUACAGGCGUAUGGGUACAGCCGGGAGCCAGUGGCCCAGCCGGCACUGGGGGGGUGAGUACAGGUGUAUGGGUACAGCCGGGAGCGAGUGGCCCAGCCAGCACAGACAAGACACGGGGCUGCAAGGUGGAACCUCACCAUGAGGACGUCAGUUGCAAGCGGCUGUGUUGCUCUGAGCCGCCAUGCAGUGGGGGGCCUGGACACAACCCACCCCGGAGUUGGCACCAUCCGCCCAGAUCAUGGUCUGCAGGCUUCAUAACCGCCCUUGUGCCCUGCCUUCGCCUGCGGGGCUGAGGUGGCUGUGUCAGCAAACCACCAGGGGGUAGCAGGGAGAUGGGGAGAGAACCCAGGAGUCCGGCUCCCAGCUCUCCAACCACUGGACCCUACUCCCUUCCCAGAGCCAGGGAGAGAACCCAGGAGUCCUAGCUCCCAGCCCCACCCCCUGCUGUAAGCACUAGACCCCACUCGCUCCUGGAACCAGGGAGAGAACCCAGGAGUCCUCGGCUCCCCCCAAGCGGCCUGUGCCCUGCAAGCCCACAUCUCACCCCCUUGUUCUUGGCUGGGUCACUCCAUGGGAGGCAAACCAGGAUUAACUUCGCCCGCCCCCAUCUCUGCUCAACCCCACUAGCUUCCCCUCCAUCCCCAGCAAGGAGAUGGUGGGGUGAGUAAGAGAGACCAGGGUCUUAUCCCCCCAGCACUUCAGAGAGGGGGACACGGAGCAAACCUGGGA